UUAAGCAUGUGUGAUAGCCCGGGUCGGCUGUAGUUUGUAACGGGGAGGGCAAUGUUGCGUAUGUGCCUCUAUAUGUAUGCGCGUGUGUCUGUAUGAUUGUGCCUGGGUGUGGGUGAGCGAGGGCACAGCAGAGUUGGGGCCAGACCAAACAAAAUGGUUGCUACUUAACAAACUGCGAUCAGCGCCCAUUAGUAGCCUCCAGCUGCCAAAUGGUAUCCAUGAAUGAGUAGGUUGUUGUUGCCAUGGUAGCAAGGUUAACUUACACCACCUCCCAAGAUGGUCUAAGUUAACAUCACCUCAGCGAAAAAUAUAAAUAUUUGUGCACAAAAUAAACUUUUUUUUUUUUAUUGGUUACAACAUUUACCACUAAGAAAGCAUGGUUUUGUGUACAUAAAGUGAAAUCUUGCAUGGAACACCGAAAAUAAAGAAGGAAAAGGAGGCAAGUUUGCCACACGUGAGCGCUCCCCAUUCUGCCUCACAGCAAGAAGAGCUAAUCCUCUUGUUUGAGGAGAUACAGCCUCAGCUGGAGAGGACAAGGCAUAGCCAGGCAUUGCCAACUCACGCCCAGGUUUUGCUGUCCCUGAGAUUGUUUGCCAGUGGGUCCUUCCAAAAUGUCAUUGGAGACACUGCAGGGGUUCUCCAGCUGCUGUACAGUCAUCCUCAUAACACAACGUCAUGCUGUCCAAGACUACGUGCCGGGGAAAACUACCACCUCUUCACCUCAGCGUCCACAUGUGGAGCCUGAACCUGCAGUGCAGCAGAUAGCUCAACACAUUUUGGGCAGAAUUGCUCUGCAAGAAAUCAUCCAAAACUUCUACCAGCAAUAAAAGAAGAAAUACAGAUUGCUGCUGAGACUCCAACACCUGUUGUGCCUGCCACCAUCUCCCAAUUUGCCUGCCAUCAGCUCUCAUUUUACCUACCAUCAGCUCUUGUUGUGCCUGCCACCAGCUCUCGAUGUACCUGCCACCAACUCCUGUUGUGCCUGCCACCACUUCUCACUGUGCCUGCCACCAGUUCCCAUUGUGCCUUCACUAGUCUAUGCAGGAAGUCUCCCAUCUCCUUCAGAUUCACUAUAAAUUGUUGCAUCUGCUCAAGUUCUGCCUGCAAUAAAUUUAAGAUGAAAA